GCUAACUACGGUCGAGCGGGCGCGUUAAGGCGUAGGGUGCAAGCGUUAAUCGGAAUUAAGGGGCGUAAAGGGUGCGCAGGCGGUUAGAUAAGCUUGAUGUGAAAGCCCCGGGCUUAACCUGGGACGUGCAUUGAGUACUGUCUGACUAGAGUACGUUAGAGGGGGGUGGAAUUCCACGUGUAGCAGUGAAAUGCGUAGAGAUGUGGAGGAACACCGAUGGCGAAGGCAGCCCCCUGGGAUGAUACUGACGCUCAAGCACGAAAGCGUGGGUAGCAAACAGGAUUAGAUACCCGUGUAGUC
rnacentral:rRNA from 1 species